GAUGUGAGUGCCUGAUCUCCUGCUAACGGAUGAAGAAGUGCACAUGCUGAUCAUCUGAGAUCCCUUAGUUGCCUUCAAUACCGUUGGUUUGUGAAAUCCACCAGUUGUCCCUAGCAGGGGCCGACUCUGGAAGGGGACAGACUUUAAAGUGACUUGCUGGAGAGCCAAGUCACAGGAAGAAACAGACUCACAGGCACAGAGCCACCGUUGGGAGAAGAGCUGCUACUUCAUGCACUGCCAUAAGAAGGAGCUAGCGAUGCCACUUGCUAGUUUUCUGCACAGAAAAGCACCAGGAUAUAUGCAUUGCAGAAUUUGAGAGAGAUGCUGCAGAUGUCUCAACUACAGUAUGUUAGCACACCAAUUCCUUAUUCUGUUUAACGCUUUCUGUUCUUCAACCUCUUCACUGUUUCUGUGAAUAUUAAGCCAGAGGAUUUGAAAAUAUUAUUUCUUAAAGGCUUGGUUAAUCUUCUUCCAUUUGCUCCUUGUUUAGUGGCUGACCUUUGAUAGGAGGACAACGUACUGUGCCAUCUUCUCUGACUUAAUGAGCUACUGAAGAACCAUUUUUAUAACCUUUAUAACCAUAUUAUUAAUAUAUGGUAACUAAGAAUGUUAAUAUGACUCUACAGCAUAGUGAAUACCUGCAGGCUUGUUACUCUUAUCAGAAAAAUUUAUUGUACAGCCUGACUACUUUACUAUAGGUCUUAGCUACUGUGUAGUAUGAUUACAUACAUGUCAAUGUUUGUGUAAAUCAAUAUUUC